AAGACUGUACUUUCAGGGAUCAUUUCUAUAGUUUGUUACAAAAAGAGUGCUUCAAAACUCCUCUACCAAAAGGAAGGUUCAACUCUUUGAGUUGAAUGCACACAUAAAAAAGAAGUUUCUGA
rnacentral:snoRNA from 2 species